rnacentral:lncRNA from 1 species
AGGGAAAAACUUGAUUUAAUGGAUUCAGUAUUUCUGCCUUGUAUAUACUUUGUAGAUCCCUUCAGUUGGGGUCGGUGUUUAGAUGCUGAGGUAGUGAGAGAAGUCUGAAGUGUGUGAAGGCGCCAACAAUGCAUAGAGAUAAGUUUAAUCCUAUAAAGGAGAAAAAACACAAGAAAGUUUCAACUUUCUCCUUGAGCUGGAAACAGGGGUGGACAUUUCUGUGUUAAUAGGGAUUAGAAGUAUUGUUUCCUAGGUCAGGACAAGGUGUUCUUCAAAGACGGAAGUUACUAUGAGGGCAAAUGUGUCAAUGGAGGAAUUAUGAGGAAUGGAUUUCAAUACUGGACAUCAGCAGCAUCCUGAGCAGAAGGAAGUUCUUUGAUUAAAGAUCUGUCCUAGUAGGUUGCUCCAGAAAAGAAUUGCUUCUGUUUAUUCCUGUCCAGCCUGUGGAAGUUCUGGAGGAAACCAUGGUGGAGCAGGUGUUUCUGUGCAGAGGACCACAGCGGAACAGGUACUCACACUGCAGCCUAUGAAGGACCCCAUGCCAGAGCAGCUGUGAACAGUUGUCAUCUGGAGAUCUGGGAAACCACCAGACCCCAUCAAGUUCUGCUACCAACUUAUUUGAGUUGAUUGAAGAAACUGCGAGGAAAACAGUUAACUCCUGUCAAUUCCGGAUUUCACUGGCCAAUUUACCAGUCCCUAAGGGACAUAGAGCCAGAACCUGGAUCUGACACCUAUAUGGAGCAGGAGGUGCUUCGAGCAGCCAGCAUGAAAGGAGGCAAAAAGCCAAGUGGCAGAAUAUCUGCUGAGAAAGCUGAGAAGAUGACAGUCUCACAGGAGAAAAUGGAAGACAGCAGUGAUCUUUAGAUCUCACAUGAUGUCCGAAGAAUACAAGCUACAAAAGGAUCAGCACCUCAAGGAAUUCUAAGGCAUUACAAGAGGCAGCUUCCUUGGUUAGACAAAUCCAAACAUGGAAAUCAACUUUUUGCAAGCAUCAGGAUAAGUGCUAAUAUCUUGGACCCAGGAUGUGAAAGCAGAUGACUUGUAACCCAGCAA